GGGGGUGACUAGGCCUCGACUGGGAGGCAUGACGUUUACGGUUGCAGGUGGAGUCCAGCCUCCUUAACCUGGACAAUUUGAUCUGCCGAUACAGAUCUAGCACUGGCUGCCUAAUAUCGUAGCCACGGGGACUUGAAGUGCGGUCCUGAGCGACGAGCAUCCCCGACGCAAUUCAGGACUUACCGCCACGCCGGCCCGCGGGGGUGGCGGGAAAGACACACAGCGGGCUGCACCGCCGCCCGUGAGCCGGAUCACAAAGGCGGCGCCAAGUAUUGCAACAGCCGGCUAAACCUGUAGACGCCGUACGCGCACCUUUCAGGACGCGGGUUCGAUUCCCGCCACCUCCAUCG
rnacentral:tmRNA from 1 species